UACGUAGGGGCCAAGCGUUGUCCGGAUUUAUUGGGCGUAAAGAGCUCGUAGGCGGUUGGGUAAGUCGGGUGUGAAAACUCCAGGCUCAACUUGGAGACGCCACCCGAUACUGCUCUGACUUGAGUUCGGUAGGGAGUGGGGAAUUCCUGGGUUGUAGCGGUGGAAAUGACGCAGAUAUCAGGAGGAACACCGGUGGCGAAGGCGCCACUCUGGGCCGAAACUGACGCUGAGGAGCGAAAGCGUGGGUAGCAAACAGG
rnacentral:rRNA from 1 species